GACGAACGCUGGCGGCGUGCUUAACACAUGCAAGUCGAACGGAAAGGCCCUGCUUUUGUGGGGUGCUCGAGUGGCGAACGGGUGAGUAACACGUGAGUAACCUGCCCUUGACUUUGGGAUAACUUCAGGAAACUGGGGCUAAUACCGGAUAGGAGCUCCUGCUGCAUGGUGGGGGUUGGAAAGUUUCGGCGGUUGGGGAUGGACUCGCGGCUUAUCAGCUUGUUGGUGGGGUAGUGGCUUACCAAGGCUUUGACGGGUAGCCGGCCUGGGAGGGUGACCGGCCACCUUGGUCCUGCGGUACGGCCCAGACUCCUACGGGAGGCAGCAGUGGGGAAUAUUGCACAAUGGGCGGACGCCUGAUACAGCAACGCCGCGUGCGGGAUGACGGCCUUCGGGUUGUAAACCGCUUUCGCCUGUGACGAAGCGUGAGUGACGGUAAUGGGUAAAGAAGCACCGGCUAACUACGUG
rnacentral:rRNA from 1 species